ACGGCUACAUCACGUUGAAACAUUGGUUCUUGUACGAUCACCGAAGUUAAGCAAGGUCAAGUCCGGUCAGUACCGAGAUGGGUGACCGCUUGGGAAUACUAGGUGUU
rnacentral:rRNA from 1 species